GAUGAACGCAGCGACAGGCCUAACACAUGCAAGUCGAGGGGCAGCACAAGGAGCAAUCUGAGGUGGCGACCGGCGCACGGGUGAGUAACACGUAUGCAACCUACCUGUAAGAGGGGAAUAACCCGUUGAAAAACGGACUAAUACCGCAUAACACUGUAGAACCGCAUGGUUUGACAGUUAAACAUUUAUGGCUUACAGAUGGGCAUGCGCAUGAUUAGCUAGUUGGUGAGGUAACGGCUCACCAAGGCAACGAUCAUUAGGGGUUCUGAGAGGAAGGUCCCCCACACUGGUACUGAGACACGGACCAGACUCCUACGGGAGGCAGCAGUGAGGAAUAUUGGUCAAUGGGCGAGAGCCUGAACCAGCCAAGUCGCGUGAAGGAUGAAGGUUUUAUGAAUUGUAAACUUCUUUUGCAGGGGAAUAAAGUGUCCGACGUGUCGGAUUUUGUAUGUACUCUGCGAAUAAGGAUCCGGCUAACUCCGUG
rnacentral:rRNA from 1 species